UACGUAGGGUGCGAGCGUUGUCCGGAAUUAUUGGGCGUAAAGCGCGUGUAGGCGGCGUGACAAGUCGGGUGUGAAAGCCCUCAGCUCAACUGAGGAAGUGCGCCCGAAACUGUCGUGCUUGAGUGCCGGAGAGGGUGGCGGAAUUCCCCAAGUAGAGGUGAAAUUCGUAGAUAUGGGGAGGAACACCGGUGGCGAAGGCGGCCACCUGGACGGUAACUGACGCUGAGACGCGAAAGCGUGGGGAGCAAACAGG
rnacentral:rRNA from 1 species